AAACUUUCAACAACGGAUCUCUUGGCUCCGGCAUCGAUGAAGAACGCAGCGAAAUGCGAUAAGUAAUGUGAAUUGCAGAAUUCAGUGAAUCAUCGAAUCUUUGAACGCACAUUGCGCCCCCCGGCACCCCGGAGGGCAUGCCUGUCCGAGCGUCAUUA
rnacentral:rRNA from 1 species